AUUGAACGCUGGCGGCAGGCCUAACACAUGCAAGUCGAGCGAGCGGCGGACGGGUGAGUAAUGUAUGGGGAUCUGCCCGAUAGAGGGGGAUAACUACUGGAAACGGUAGCUAAUACCGCAUACUAUCGGAUGUACCCAUAUGGGAUUAGCUAGUAGGUGGGGUAAAGGCUCACCUAGGCGACGAUCCCUAGCUGGUCUGAGAGGAUGAUCAGCCAAACUGGAACUGAGACACGGUCCAGACGCCUACGGGAGGCAGCAGUGGGGAAUAUUGCACAAUGGGCGCAAGCCUGAUGCAGCCAUGCCGCGUGUAUGAAGAAGGCCUUCGGGUUGUAAAGUACUUUCAGCGGGGAGGCGUUACCCGCAGAAGAAGCACCGGCUAACUCCGUGCCAGCAGCCGCGGUAAUUC
rnacentral:rRNA from 1 species